AGAACGCAGCGAAAUGCGAUACUUGGUGUGAAUUGCAGAAUCCCGUGAACCAUCGAGUCUUUGAACGCAAGUUGCGCCCAAAGCCUUCGGGUUGAGGGCACGUCUGCCUGGGUGUCACGC
rnacentral:rRNA from 1 species